UCGUAAAACUACCAUAUGUAGUAACAAAUGUGAUUGAAAAUGUUAGAAAUAUAUUUUAAGCAAAUACUUACUGUGGCUAAUCUAUUUUCGAUGCUUGUCUAUAUUAACUUUAUUCAUGGUUAUGAGUUAAAGGAAACCAUCAAUAGAAAUGUAAAUAUGGAUUGCCAUUUGCCGUGUCGACACAAUUGGCAAAAGAUCUGUGGCCGAGAUCCUCACAAAAUAAAGACAAAAGUUUUUAAAGAUGCUUGCUCUAUGCAAGAACACAACUGCAAAUUUUCUACCAAUUUUAAAGUGACUUCUAGAAACAUGUGCCCGGGGCUAGAUCGACUACAAAUUGAAAUCUUUUAAUGCCACACGAAGUUUUAUAAAAAAAAAAAA